rnacentral:rRNA from 1 species
AUUGAACGCUGGCGGCAGGCCUAACACAUGCAAGUCGAACGAGGGGCGGACGGGUGAGUAAUGUGUGGGGAUCUGCCUUAUGGAGGGGGAUAACUACGGGAAACUGUAGCUAAUACCGCAUACCAUAGUAUGAGCCCAAGUGGGAUUAGCUAGUUGGUGAGGUAAAGGCUCAUCUAGGCGACGAUCUCUAGCUGGUCUGAGAGGAUGAUCAGCCACACUGGGACUGAGACACGGCCCAGACUCCUACGGGAGGCAGCAGUGGGGAAUAUUGCACAAUGGGCGAAAGCCUGAUGCAGCCAUGCCGCGUGUAUGAAGAAGGCCUUAGGGUUGUAAAGUACUUUCAGUGGGGAGGCGUUACCCGCAGAAGAAGCACCGGCUAACUCCGUGCCAGCAGCCGCGGUAAUUC